rnacentral:rRNA from 1 species
ACGUAUGGAGCAAGCGUUAUCCGGAUUUACUGGGUGUAAAGGGUGCGUAGGUGGCAGUGCAAGUCAGAUGUGAAAGGCCGGGGCUCAACCCCGGAGCUGCAUUUGAAACUGCGCGGCUAGAGUACAGGAGAGGCAGGCGGAAUUCCUAGUGUAGCGGUGAAAUGCGUAGAUAUUAGGAGGAACACCAGUGGCGAAGGCGGCCUGCUGGACUGUUACUGACACUGAGGCACGAAAGCGUGGGGAGCAAACAG